rnacentral:rRNA from 1 species
UGGGGAAUUUUGCGCAAUGGACGAAAGUCUGACGCAGCAACGCCGCGUGAAGGAUGAAGGCCUUAGGGUCGUAAACUUCUGUUAAUCGGGAAGAAAUAAUAAAAGUUAAUACCUUUUAUUGAUGACGUUACCGAUGGAGAAAGCUCCGGCUAACUUCGUGCCAGCAGCCGCGGUAAUACGAAGGGAGCAAGCGUUAUUCGGAAUUAUUGGGCGUAAAGGGUGCGUAGGCGGUGCCAUAAGUUUGUUGUUUAAUCUCUCGGCCUAACUGAGAGUAUGCGGCAAAUACUGUGGUGCUAGAGUAAGAUAGAGAGAGGUGGAAUUUUCGGAGUAGCGGUCAAAUGCGUAGAUCUCGAAAGGAACGCCAAUGGCGAAGGCAGCCUCUUGGGUCUUUACUGACGCUGAUGCACGAAGGCGUGGGGAGCAAACAGG